AGUUUAUACAAUCACCUAUACACAUCCAUAUACAUCCAUACAAUUAUCAUUUCUAUCUAUAGUCUAUACAAAUAUCCAUACACAACCAUACACAUUAAGGUACUAAACAAUGACUGGCAACAAUCUAUACAAUCACCUGUACACAUUCAUACAAAUUCAUAUGAUUAUCAUUUUUACCUACAGUCUAUAUAAUCAUCUAUACACAUCCAUAUACAUUAGUACAGUUAUCAUUUCUACACGUAGUCCAUACAAAUAUUCAUACAUAACCAU
rnacentral:lncRNA from 1 species